rnacentral:tRNA from 1 species
GCCAGAGUAGCUCAGUUGGUAGAGCAUCUCACUCGUAACGAGAAGGUCGUGAGUUCGAUCCUCGCCUCUGGCU